rnacentral:piRNA from 1 species
UGGGAGAUAUCCUUGAUGGGUGACUUAAGC